UGGGGAAUUUUGGACAAUGGGCGAAAGCCUGAUCCAGCAAUGCCGCGUGUGUGAAGAAGGCCUUCGGGUUGUAAAGCACUUUUGUCCGGAAAGAAAUCCUUGGCUCUAAUACAGUCGGGGGAUGACGGUACCGGAAGAAUAAGCACCGGCUAACUACGUGCCAGCAGCCGCGGUAAUACGUAGGGUGCAAGCGUUAAUCGGAAUUACUGGGCGUAAAGCGUGCGCAGGCGGUUUGCUAAGACCGAUGUGAAAUCCCCGGGCUCAACCUGGGAACUGCAUUGGUGACUGGCAGGCUAGAGUAUGGCAGAGGGGGGUAGAAUUCCACGUGUAGCAGUGAAAUGCGUAGAGAUGUGGAGGAAUACCGAUGGCGAAGGCAGCCCCCUGGGCCAAUACUGACGCUCAUGCACGAAAGCGUGGGGAGCAAACAGGAUUAGAUACCCUGGUAGUCCACGCCCUAAACGAUGUCAACUAGUUGUUGGGGAUUCAUUUCCUUAGUAACGUAGCUAACGCGUGAAGUUGACCGCCUGGGGAGUACGGUCGCAAGAUUAAAACUCAAAGGAAUUG
rnacentral:rRNA from 1 species